rnacentral:rRNA from 1 species
UAGGGAAUCUUCCGCAAUGGACGCAAGUCUGACGGAGCAACGCCGCGUGAGUGAAGAAGGAUUUCGGUUCGUAAAACUCUGUUGUUAGAGAAGAACAGCGCAUAGAGUAACUGUUAUGCGUGUGACGGUAUGUAACCAGAAAGCCACGGCUAACUACGUGCCAGCAGCCGCGGUAAUACGUAGGUGGCAAGCGUUGUCCGGAUUUAUUGGGCGUAAAGCGAGCGCAGGCGGUCAAUUAAGUCUGAUGUGAAAGCCCCCGGCUCAACCGGGGAGGGUCAUUGGAAACUGGUUGACUUGAGUGCAGAAGAGGAGAGUGGAAUUCCAUGUGUAGCGGUGAAAUGCGUAGAUAUAUGGAGGAACACCAGUGGCGAAGGCGACUCUCUGGUCUGUAACUGACGCUGAGGCUCGAAAGCGUGGGUAGCAAACAGG